rnacentral:rRNA from 1 species
UACGGAGGGUGCAAGCGUUAAUCGGAAUUACUGGGCGUAAAGCGCGCGUAGGCGGUUUUGUAAGUCGGAUGUGAAAGCCCCGGGCUUAACCUGGGAAUUGCAUUCGAUACUGCGUGACUAGAGUAUGGUAGAGGGAAGCGGAAUUCCGGGUGUAGCGGUGAAAUGCGUAGAUAUCCGGAGGAACACCAGUGGCGAAGGCGGCUUCCUGGACCAAUACUGACGCUGAGGCGCGAAAGCGUGGGGAGCAAACAGGAUUAGAAACCCGAGUAGUCC